AUUGAACGCUGGCGGCAUGCCUUACACAUGCAAGUCGAACGGCAGCACGGGUGCUUGCACCUGGUGGCGAGUGGCGAACGGGUGAGUAAUACAUCGGAACAUGUCCUUUAUUGGGGGAUAGCCCGGCGAAAGCCGGAUUAAUACCGCAUACGAUCUACGGAUGAAAGCGGGGGACCUUCGGGCCUCGCGCUAUAGGGUUGGCCGAUGGCUGAUUAGCUAGUUGGUGGGGUAAAGGCCUACCAAGGCGACGAUCAGUAGCUGGUCUGAGAGGACGACCAGCCACACUGGGACUGAGACACGGCCCAGACUCCUACGGGAGGCAGCAGUGGGGAAUUUUGGACAAUGGGCGAAAGCCUGAUCCAGCAAUGCCGCGUGUGUGAAGAAGGCCUUCGGGUUGUAAAGCACUUUUGUCCGGAAAGAAAUCCUUGGCCCUAAUACGGUCGGGGGAUGACGGUACCGGAAGAAUAAGCACCGGCUAACUACGUG
rnacentral:rRNA from 1 species